CCUACGGGAGGCAGCAGUGGGGACUAUUGCACAAUGGGCGAAAGCCUGAUGCAGCAACGCCGCGUGAAGGAAGAAGGCUUUCGGGUUGUAAACUUCUUUUGUCAGGGAAGAGUAGAAGACGGUACCUGACGAAUAAGCCACGGCUAACUACGUGCCAGCAGCCGCGGUAAUACGUAGGUGGCAAGCGUUGUCCGGAUUUACUGGGUGUAAAGGGCGUGUAGCCGGGUUGACAAGUCAGAUGUGAAAUCCUGCGGCUUAACCGCAGAACUGCAUUUGAAACUGUUGAUCUUGAGUACUGGAGAGGCAGACGGAAUUCCUAGUGUAGCGGUGAAAUGCGUAGAUAUUAGGAGGAACACCAGUGGCGAAGGCGGUCUGCUGGACAGCAACUGACGGUGAGGCGCGAAAGCGUGGGGAGCAAACAGGAUUAGAUACCCCAGUAGUC
rnacentral:rRNA from 1 species